rnacentral:rRNA from 1 species
CCGAGCCCCCGAGGGU